rnacentral:rRNA from 1 species
CAGUCGCCGCGGUAAUACGAAGGGCGCGAGCGUUACCCGGAUUUACUGGGCGUAAAGGGCGUGUAGGCGGCCUGGGGCGUCCCACGUGAAAGGCCUCGGCUCAACCGUGGAGGAGCGUGGGAUACGCUCAGGCUAGAGGGUGGGAGAGGGUGGUGGAAUUCCCGGAGUAGCGGUGAAAUGCGCAGAUACCGGGAGGAACGCCGAUGGCGAAGGCAGCCACCUGGUCCACUUCUGACGCUGAGGCGCGAAAGCGUGGGGAGCAAACCGGAUUAGAUACCCGUGUAGUCCCUGUCUCUUAUAA